rnacentral:rRNA from 1 species
GAUGAACGCUAGCGGCAGGCCUAAUACAUGCAAGUCGAACGGGAUCUGAGGGUAGCUUGCUACCCGAUUUGAGAGUGGCGCACGGGUGCGUAACGCGUGAGCAACCUACCCAUAUCAGGGGGAUAGCCCGAAGAAAUUCGGAUUAACACCGCAUAAUAAUACGCUAACACAUGUUGAUGUAUUUAAAUAUUUAUAGGAUAUGGAUGGGCUCGCGUGACAUUAGCUAGUUGGUAAGGUAACGGCUUACCAAGGCGACGAUGUCGAGGGGCUCUGAAAGGAGAACCCCCCACACUGGUACGGAGACACGGACCAGACUCCUACGGGAGGCAGCAGUAAGAAAUACUGGUCAAUGGGCGCAAGCCUGAACCAGCCAUGCCGCGUGCAGGAUGACUGCCCUAUGGGUUGUAAACUGCUUUUGUUAGGGAAUAAACCUUCUUACGUUUAAGGAGCUGAAUGUACCAAAAGAAUAAGGAUCGGCUAACUCCGUGCCAGCAGCCGCGGUAA